rnacentral:rRNA from 1 species
GUGGGGAAUAUUGGACAAUGGGCGAAAGCCUGAUCCAGCCAUGCCGCGUGUGUGAAGAAGGUCUUCGGAUUGUAAAGCACUUUAAGUUGGGAGGAAGGGCAGUAAGUUAAUACCUUGCUGUUUUGAUGUUACCGACAGAAUAAGCACCGGCUAACUUCGUGCCAGCAGCCGCGGUAAUACGAAGGGUGCAAGCGUUAAUCGGAAUUACUGGGCGUAAAGCGCGCGUAGGUGGUUCAGCAAGUUGAAGGUGAAAUCCCCGGGCUCAACCUGGGAACUGCCUCCAAAACUACUGAGCUAGAGUACGGUAGAGGGUAGUGGAAUUUCCUGUGUAGCGGUGAAAUGCGUAGAUAUAGGAAGGAACACCAGUGGCGAAGGCGACUACCUGGACUGAUACUGACACUGAGGUGCGAAAGCGUGGGGAGCAAACAGGAUUAGAAACCCUUGUAGUCC